rnacentral:rRNA from 1 species
GACGAACGCUGGCGGCGUGCUUAACACAUGCAAGUCGAACGGAAAGGCCCUGCUUUUGUGGGGUGCUCGAGUGGCGAACGGGUGAGUAACACGUGAGUAACCUGCCCUUGACUUUGGGAUAACUUCAGGAAACUGGGGCUAAUACCGGAUAGGAGCUCCUGCUGCAUGGUGGGGGUUGGAAAGUUUCGGCGGUUGGGGAUGGACUCGCGGCUUAUCAGCUUGUUGGUGGGGUAGUGGCUUACCAAGGCUUUGACGGGUAGCCGGCCUGGGAGGGUGACCGGCCACAUUGGGACUGAGCUGCGGCCCAGACUCCUACGGGAGGCAGCAGUGGGGAAGAGUGCACAAUGGGCGGAAGCCUGAUGCAGCAACGCCGCGUGGGGGAUGACGGCCUUCGGUUUGUGAUCCGCUUUCGCCUUUGACGAGGCGUGAGUGACGGUAAUGGGUGAAGAAGCACCGGCUAACUACGUG